UACGUAGGGACCAAGCGUUGUUCGGAUUUACUGGGCGUAAAGGGCGCGUAGGCGGCAAUUCAAGUCAUCUGUGAAAUCUCCGGGCUUAACUCGGAACGGUCAGAUGAUACUGCUUUGCUAGAGUGCGGAAGGGGCAAUCGGAAUUCUCGGUGUAGCGGUGAAAUGCGUAGAUAUCGGGAAGAACAUCAGUGGCGAAGGCGGCCUGCUGGGCUGUUGCUGACGCUGAGGCGCGACAGCGUGGGGAGCAAACAGG
rnacentral:rRNA from 1 species